rnacentral:rRNA from 1 species
CACGUAGGCACCAAGCGUUGUCCGGAUUUAUUGGGCGUAAAGAGCUCGUAGGCGGUUCAGUAAGUCGGGUGUGAAAACUUUGGGCUUAACCCAAAGCGUGCAUCCGAUACUGCUGUGACUUGAGUUCGGUAGGGGAGUGGGGAAUUCCUAGUGUAGCGGUGAAAUGCGCAGAUAUUAGGAGGAACACCAAUGGCGAAGGCAGCUCUCUGGGACGGUACUGACGCUGAGACGCGAAAGCGUGGGGAGCGAACAGG